UACGAAGGGGGCUAGCGUUGCUCGGAAUCACUGGGCGUAAAGCGCACGUAGGCGGAUUGUUAAGUCAGGGGUGAAAUCCUGGAGCUCAACUCCAGAACUGCCUUUGAUACUGGCAAUCUCGAGUUCGGGAGAGGUGAGUGGAACUGCGAGUGUAGAGGUGAAAUUCGUAGAUAUUCGCAAGAACACCAGUGGCGAAGGCGGCUCACUGGCCCGAUACUGACGCUGAGGUGCGAAAGCGUGUGGAGCAAACAGG
rnacentral:rRNA from 1 species